GGGAAUCUGCCCUUGGGUCUGGGAUAACAGUUGGAAACGACUGCUAAUACCGGAUGAUAUCGCGAGAUCAAAGAUUUAUCGCCCGAGGAUGAGCCCGCGUCAGAUUAGCUAGUUGGUGGGGUAAAGGCCUACCAAGGCGACGAUCUGUAGCUGGUCUGAGAGGAUGAUCAGCCACACUGGGACUGAGACACGGCCCAGACUCCUACGGGAGGCAGCAGUGGGGAAUAUUGGACAAUGGGCGCAAGCCUGAUCCAGCAAUGCCGCGUGAGUGAUGAAGGCCUUAGGGUUGUAAAGCUCUUUUACCCGGGAUGAUAAUGACAGUACCGGGAGAAUAAGCCCCGGCUAACUCCGUGCCAGCAGCCGCGGUAAUACGGAGGGGGCUAGCGUUGUUCGGAAUUACUGGGCGUAAAGCGCACGUAGGCGGCUUUGUAAGUCAGGGGUGAAAGCCUGGAGCUCAACUCCAGAACUGCCUUUGAGACUGCAUCGCUUGAAUCCGGGAGAGGUAAGUGGAAUUCCGAGU
rnacentral:rRNA from 1 species